rnacentral:sRNA from 21 species
UAAAAACUGUGAUGGUCAAAGCUCAUGGAAAUUGUAAGCCUUUUUGUGUACAAUUUUCGAGGGUUU